rnacentral:rRNA from 1 species
AACGAACGCUGGCGGCAUGCCUAACACAUGCAAGUCGAACGAGAUCUUCGGGUCUAGUGGCGCACGGGUGCGUAACGCGUGGGAAUCUGCCCUUUGGUUCGGAAUAACAGUUGGAAACGACUGCUAAUACCGGAUGAUGACGAAAGUCCAAAGAUUUAUCGCCAGAGGAUGGGCCCGCGUAGGAAUAGCUAGUUGGUGUGGUAAAGGCGCACCAAGGCGACGAUCCUUAGCUGGUCUGAGAGGAUGAUCAGCCCCACUGGGACGGAGACACGGCCCAGACUCCUACGGGAGGCAGCAGUGGGGAAUAUUGGACAAUGGGCGAAAGCCUGAUCCAGCAAUGCCGCGUGAGUGAUGAAGGCCUUAGGGUUGUAAAGCUCUUUUACCCGGGAUGAUAAUGACAGUACCGGGAGAAUAAGCUCCGGCUAACUCCGUGCCAGCAGCCGCGGUAA